GAUGAACGCUGGCGGCGUGCCUAAUACAUGCAAGUCGAGCGAACAGACGAGGAUCUUGCUCCUCGGACGUUAGCGGCGGACGGGUGAGUAACACGUGGAUCACCUACUUAUAAGACUGGUAUAACUUCGGGACACCGGAGCUAAUACCGGAGAAUAUCUUGAACCGCAUGGUUCAAUAGUGAAUGACGGUUUUGCUGUCACUUCUAGAGGGAUCUCCGCCGCAUUAGCUAGUUGUUAAGUUAACGGCUUACCAAGGCAACGAUGCGUAGCCGACCGGAGAGGGUGGUAGGCCACACUGGAACUGAGACACGGUCCAGGCGCCUGCGAGAGGCAGCAGUCGGGUAUCUGACGCAGUGGGCGAAAGCCUGACGGAGCAAGGCCGAGUGAGAGAUGAAGGUCUUCGGAUCGUAAAAAUCUGUUAUGAGGGAAGAACAAAUGUGUAAGUAACUAUGCCCGUCUUGACGGUAACUAAUCAGAAAGCAACGGCUAACUACGUG
rnacentral:rRNA from 1 species